CAGCCGCCGCGGUAAUACGUAGGUGGCAAGCGUUGUCCGGAAUUAUUGGGCGUAAAGGGCUCGCAGGCGGUUUCUUAAGUCUGAUGUGAAAGCCCCCGGCUCAACCGGGGAGGGUCAUUGGAAACUGGGAAACUUGAGUGCAGAAGAGGAGAGUGGAAUUCCACGUGUAGCGGUGAAAUGCGUAGAGAUGUGGGGGGACACCAGUGGCGAAGGCGACUCUCUGGUCAGUAACUGACGCUGAGGAGCGAAAGCGUGUGGAGCGAACAGGAUUAGAUACCCCCGUAGUCCCUGUCUCUUAUAC
rnacentral:rRNA from 1 species